CCUGGUGAUUAUAGCGGAACGCCCCCACUCGAUCCCAUCUCGAACUCGACCGUGAAACGUUCCUGCGCCGAUGGUACUACACUGUGGGAGAGUAGGUCGUCGCCAGGC
rfam:Rhodomicrobium vannielii ATCC 17100, complete genome.